rnacentral:sRNA from 1 species
GUUUCACCUUCACAUAUAUGUCCUUAAUAUCUGGUUAGAUAUGUUCUUCACCUUCACAUAGAUU